GACUGGAUAGCUCAGUCGGUAGAGCACAGGACUCUUAAUCCCAGGUUUGUGGGUUCGGGGCUCACGUUGGUUG